CUGAAAAAUUGUGCUCUACACUGGUAAUUGAUACAACAUUGUAAACUGACUAUAACUCAAUAAAAAAAAAGUUUAAAAAAAAAGAGAGAUGUCCAACAAAAUACUUGGCAGGAUCUCCUCAAAACUCAAGGUCACGAGAAGCAAGGAAAGACUGAGAAAUUGUCCCAGACCAGAAGAAAUGAAGCAGAUGUGACAAAAUUGCAAUGUGGUACCCUGGGUUGGAUCCUGAAACAGAUACAGGAUGUUAGUGUAAAAAGGAGUGAAAUCUGAAUAAAGGCUGAAAUUUCGUUAAUAACAAAGUACCAAAGUUGGUUUCUCUUGCGAAACACUCAAUGGUGAACUAAGAUGACUGAGUGAAGGAUUUAUAGAAACUCUCUGUGUUAUCAUGGCCAUUUUCCUGUAAAUCUAACAUUCCAAAAUUUUAAGAGCCUCAUGCUCUACCGACUGAGCUAGCCAGGUGCCGAAAAUUUUAAAGUUUAUUGAGGAAAAAAAGUGAUCAGUUUCCCUCUCUGCACUGUUAUUUUCUCCUUGGCCUUGACAUAGCCCUGCUUGACUCAGACACAAGCAGAAAUGCCACCACAGGCCAGGCUCCAGGCUCCCCAUAGUCCAGUUUGGAGGCUGGCAAUUUUACUAGAUUAUUGAAAUAAAUAUUAAUAACUUGAAAAUCCUCAGGGCCCCCAGUUUGAAGACAAUCACUCCCCUGCUUCAUUUCUCCAAUAGUGUCUCACUGUUCUGGAGAAGAAACCAAAUUCCUUACUGUACCCUGCAAGGCCUUCAGAGUGUCCCCCUACUUAUUCUCAGAGCUCAAUUUCUACGUUUCCCUCUAGUCUCCUAGGCCCCUGACCACCGGACAUCCCUGUCCCUGCCCGUGCCUGCCCCAGGGCAUUUGCACACUUGCCGUCUCUGCCUGGUAUGUCUUUCCCCACAUCUUCCUGUGGAGAGACCGACCCUGAUCGUCCAUCUCCCUCCCGCCGCAUCCCCUGUCACUCUCAACCACAUCUCCCUACUGGCUUCAUAGCAUUGAUCAUUAUCUAAAAUUGCCUUGUUUAUUUAUGUGGGUGCUGUUUUGUUUUGUUUUGGUGAGUGUGCUGGUUAAGAGCCGUGGACUCUGGAGCCCUGCCACAUCCCACCUCUGCCCUUGAACAAGUUAUCUGGACUCUCUGGGUCUCAGCCUCCUCAUCUAUGAUGAAGAAUGAUAAAAACACUGUGCCAUAGGAUUGUUGGGGGAAUUUAAAGAAUCUCUAAAAGGACUGGCCUACGCCUGGCACAUGAGCCUGGCACACAGGAGAGGGAAUGAAUGAAUUGAUGGAUGAAUAACGUGGAGUAAGGAUGAGGAACACUGGGUUUGGAGUCAGCACACCUGCUUGCACUCUCUUCCCUUAGGAGCUUUGUGACCUUGGGGUGGCCAGUAGCUUCUAGGGGCAGCAGGAGGGCCUUGCCCUGAUAUUCCUGUGGCUGAGAUUCUCAGACGGGAGAGUACAAUGAAAGUGGACAGUGAACUUGGGGAGCUGAUGGUCCUGAGGUCAUGCAGUCGGAGCCACAGCCAGAGGGUGCCUGCAUCCCGGCUAAAAGGAGUGUGGGCAGAAGUGACUGAGCAUCAUUUUCAGAUCUGACCUAUGAAAAAUCUCCCACUUCAUCCUCUACCCUCGCUUUGCCCAUCUGCCAGCUGGAUAUCUGUGCCCAGGGCCACCUGGGAAGCCACGUGUGAAAACAGAAGAGGUUCCAUCAACCAGCUGGAUCCCUUGACGACUCCAUGAAGCAAAGCCCUUCCCACCCAUCCCUCCCUGCUGCUGAGUGAACUUUAGAAUACUAAGAAAUUAACUGCUGCUGGGGGAGGGUAUAAGUCAGCGGUAGGGUGCAUGCUUAACAUGCAUGAGGUCCCGGGUUCAAUCCCCUGUACCUCCUCUAAAAAUAAGUAAAUCUA